CAAGCUUACAGUGAAGCUUUGCUGGAAAAGAGAGGAGAAUGAGAAAGAUGGGAGGCCUGGAAGCGGGAUCUAGGUACACUGGACCAGGAGUUGUACCAGGGGCCUGAAGACAAUUCUCUAAGUGAUAGAAAACCAGCCAGCGGGUUGGGCCCAAGACACAGUUUGCUGAUCCUGACUGUCAGGAGAGGAACGAUGUGCCGAGAAGUGAGUUUUGGCCUUCCUGUGGCAGAAACAUUAUUUAUAAAAUCCUACAGUGCCAACGAGACCCUGAAUGAAGUGACUGCUUGAAAGUAGCCCUGGUGCUGAUGUUGGGAAAGCUGGUUGCUAUGUUUGGAAGACAUCAGUGGUCAAGUCCAUGGGAAGAUCUGAGUUUUUGGCUACUACCAAGCAGAAACUGAGACUUCAUGUGUUAGCUACGAUGGGGACCCUCUUCCUUUUCAGCUUUCACUGGACAUUCUAUGAUUCUAAAGUGGAUAGGCUAAGGCCCUAUCCAAUGGCAUAGCUGCAACAUCCUAAGAGAUAUUGAAACAGAACCUUCCAGCUAAGAUACUCCCAAUUCCUGGUUAAUAAAAACUAUA